CUGACAUCCGCAAAGCUCUGAAGCUUUACCUUGAAGGCGGCAUGCAGUCCUGUGAGGUCCUUCCGAACCCAGGGAUCGUAAAAUCCUUCCUGGCUUCCAGCAACGGGCAAGUGCUCUGUCCAGUAAGACUAAGCGAAUGCCAUGCAAGUGCAGUAUGCCCCUGUGCACCGUGGAUGUGCUUGUCUUAGCGAGAACGAAAGGGGAAUGUCCCUGAGAACACUGGAGAUGGUCAAUCUGAGCCCCACCUGACCUCUCAAGUACAGGCUCCGGACUCAAGAGCAGAAAUUAGCAGGCUUCAUCUUCUCCUUCACAACAAACUGUGAGGAGCUUCAGCAGGAGGUUGGCUUCAGGGAGAGGCAAUGUAUCGGAACACAUUGCAAAAGACACUUCAUCCA